AGAAUCAACGCUGGCGGCGUGCCUAACACAUGCAAGUCGAACGCGAGAGGGGCUUCGGCCCCAAUUGAGUGGCAAACGGGUGAGUAACGCGUGGGUGACCUACCUUCGAGUGGGGGAUAACGUUCCGAAAGGGACGCUAAUACCGCAUGACAUCCUGUUUUUUGACAGGCGGAGAUCAAAGCCGGGGAUCGCAAGACCUGGCGCUUGAAGAGGGGCCCGCGUCCGAUUAGCUAGUUGGUGGGGUAACGGCUCACCAAGGCGACGAUCGGGUA
rnacentral:rRNA from 1 species